rnacentral:rRNA from 1 species
AUGCAGUCGAGCGGUAACAGAAAGUAGCUUGCUACUUUGCUGACGAGCGGCGGACGGGUGAGUAAUGCUUGGGAACAUGCCUUGAGGUGGGGGACAACAGUUGGAAACGACUGCUAAUACCGCAUAAUGUCUACGGACCAAAGGGGGCUUCGGCUCUCGCCUUUAGAUUGGCCCAAGUGGGAUUAGCUAGUUGGUGAGGUAAUGGCUCACCAAGGCAACGAUCCCUAGCUGGUUUGAGAGGAUGAUCAGCCACACUGGAACUGAGACACGGUCCAGACUCCUACGGGAGGCAGCAGUGGGGAAUAUUGCACAAUGGGCGAAAGCCUGAUGCAGCCAUGCCGCGUGUGUGAAGAAGGCCUUCGGGUUGUAAAGCACUUUCAGUCAGGAGGAAAGGGUGUGAGUUAAUACCUCAUAUCUGUGACGUUACUGACAGAAGAAGCACCGGCUAACUCCGUGCCAGCAGCCGCGGUAAUACGGAGGGUGCGAGCGUUAAUCGGAAUUACUGGGCGUAAAGCGUACGCAGGCGGUUUGUUAAGCGAGAUGUGAAAGCCCCGGGCUCAACCUGGGAACUGCAUUUCGAACUGGCAAACUAGAGUGUGAUAGAGGGUGGUAGAAUUUCAGGUGUAGCGGUGAAAUGCGUAGAGAUCUGAAGGAAUACCGAUGGCGAAGGCAGCCACCUGGGUCAACACUGACGCUCAUGUACGAAAGCGUGGGGAGCAAACGGGAUUAGAUACCCCGGUAGUCCACGCCGUAAACGAUGUCUACUAGAAGCUCGGAACCUCGGUUCUGUUUUUCAAAGCUAACGCAUUAAGUAGACCGCC